CAGCAGUAAACCAUCAGAGCCUCAUCAUGAAAGUCCAUCACACUCUGAUCUGCUUCUUCUUCCUUUAUUCAACUGGGUUUGUCAAAGCCAGCAUUUGGAUUGUACCUGAAGGAGGGAAUUUAUCACUUUAUAAUCGCUUCACUGUGUCUGGAAACAUAAAGUUCUUCUGUAAGGAAAAAUGUGAGAGAGCAGAAAACAUCCUCAUUAAAACAGAUGAAACCACAGCUCAGAGCGGCAGAUUCAGCAUUGAAUACAAAAAUGCAUCUUCAGGAAGAGGAAGGCUGUCUUUCACCAUCACACAUAUGAUUAAGUCUGACUCAGGAAUGUAUCGGUUUGGUUUGGGUAAAUCUUCAGCUCCAGAUUCAUACUCAGACCUUGAGGUCAGAGUUUCAAAUGAAUUUAAUAAAAGCUCUGGAUUCUUCCGUGCGCAGACUGAGGGAGAAGAAAUCUCAUUUCCAUGUGCCAAUGCUGUCAAUGGACAGAGGAAGUUCCUUUGUAAGAAUCCGUGUGAAAAAGAAGGAAAUAUUUUCAUUGACACAACUAAUGACAAAGCUGAGAAUGGCAGGUACAGUAUCGAAUACACAAAAGGAUCUGCGUUUGGACUGUAUGCAACCAUCAGACAGCUGACCAAGUCUGACACGGGACAGUACUGGUGUGGUUACGGCGACCCUUUGUCUCCUGAUUCAUACCACACUGAAAAUAUUUUUGUCGUAGGGGCUUCAAACCCCCACACCUCUGCACCACCAACAACGCAGACUCAGAGUUUCACUUCAGCCGUCUCCACACCUUCAUCAGAGUCUUCCAAUUCCUUCUUGCCUCUGGUUGUCUGUGUGAUAGUUGGUAUUUUACUGUUAUUGGUUUUACUGGUGCUCCUCUACAUUUGGAAGAAAAAGAAAAACUUUGGACAGAGCCUUAGUGAAACUGCUGGUGACACAAGAAUGCAGGUAUCAGCCACAUAAGAAAACUGUGGUCCAACCUCCAAACAUGAAGACUUCAAAGUUCCAGGAACAAACCUGCUCUGCAUUUAUAACGCCAGAAAUAUGGAAAAAUACAUUGCAAUGCAGCACUUGAGGUAUAAUCAAAACUUGUCCCAUACAAACCAAGAACCUUGCUCAUCCUCCAAAGUCAUCUCCUCUUCCACCUCCACAGCACGCUGACAUUCAUGUGGAACGUCCCAACAUCCAGCAGUUUUCAGUAGUUUUUCUUUUUUAUUUGAAGACUCCACAGUUGUGAAAUCUGAGUGCAGUGUGUCAGAGAAGAUGCAUGAUCAAGAGCAUGAUGACUGAUUUUUUUAAUUUUUAUUUUCAGUAUUUUCAAUAUUCAGUAACAGCUGAAAGCAUUUGAGGGAAAACAGUGAG
ensembl:lncRNA